rnacentral:rRNA from 1 species
GCAGGCGGUUUCGCGUAGCGAAAGCGAAUGCUUUGGGGUGGGGUGACUGCGUACCUUUUGUAUAAUGGGUCAGCGACUUAUAUUCUGUAGCAAGGUUAACCGAAUAGGGGAGCCGGAGGGAAACCGAGUCUUAAUUGGGCGUUAAGUUGCAGGGUAUAGACCCGAAACCCGGUGAUCUAGCCAUGGGCAGGUUGAAGGUUGGGUAACACUAACUGGAGGACCGAACCGACUAAUGUUGAAAAAUUAGCGGAUGACCUGUGGCUGGGGGUGAAAGGCCAAUCAAACCGGGAGAUAGCUGGUUCUCCCCGAAAGCUAUUUAGGUAGCGCCUCGUGAAUUCAUCUCCGGGGGUAGAGCACUGUUUCGGCUAGGGGGCCAUCCCGGCUUACCAACCCGAUGCAAACUGCGAAUACCGGAGAAUGUUAUCACGGGAGACACACGGCGGGUGCUAACGUCCGUCGUGAAGAGGGAAACAACCCAGACCGCCAGCUAAGGUCCCAAAGUCAUGGUUAAGUGGGAAACGAUGUGGGAAGGCCCAGACAGCCAGGAUGUUGGCUUAGAAGCAGCCAUCAUUUAAAGAAAGCGUAAUAGCUCACUGGUCGAGUCGGCCUGCGCGGAAGAUGUAACGGGGCUAAACCAUGCACCGAAGCUGCGGCAGCGACACUGUGUGUUGUUGGGUAGGGGAGCGUUCUGUAAGCCUGUGAAGGUGUGUCGUGAGGCAUGCUGGAGGUAUCAGAAGUGCGAAUGCUGACAUAAGUAACGAUAAAGCGGGUGAAAAGCCCGCUCGCCGGAAGACCAAGGGUUCCUGUCCAACGUUAAUCGGGGCAGGGUGAGUCGACCCCUAAGGCGAGGCCGAAAGGCGUAGUCGAUGGGAAACGGGUUAAUAUUCCCGUACUUGGUGUUACUGCGAAGGGGGGACGGAGAAGGCUAUGUUGGCCGGGCGACGGUUGUCCCGGUUUAAGCGUGUAGGUGUGUGUUCCAGGUAAAUCCGGUUCACUUUAACACUGAGGCGUGACGACGAGGCACUACGGUGCUGAAGCAACAAAUGCCCUGCUUCCAGGAAAAGCCUCUAAGCAUCAGGUAACAUCAAAUCGUACCCCAAACCGACACAGGUGGUCAGGUAGAGAAUACCAAGGCGCUUGAGAGAACUCGGGUGAAGGAACUAGGCAAAAUGGUGCCGUAACUUCGGGAGAAGGCACGCUGACACGUAGGUGAAGUGAUUUACUCAUGGAGCUGAAGUCAGUCGAAGAUACCAGCUGGCUGCAACUGUUUAUUAAAAACACAGCACUGUGCAAACACGAAAGUGGACGUAUACGGUGUGACGCCUGCCCGGUGCCGGAAGGUUAAUUGAUGGGGUCAGCGCAAGCGAAGCUCCUGAUCGAAGCCCCGGUAAACGGCGGCCGUAACUAUAACGGUCCUAAGGUAGCGAAAUUCCUUGUCGGGUAAGUUCCGACCUGCACGAAUGGCGUAAUGAUGGCCAGGCUGUCUCCACCCGAGACUCAGUGAAAUUGAACUCGCUGUGAAGAUGCAGUGUACCCGCGGCAAGACGGAAAGACCCCGUGAACCUUUACUAUAGCUUGACACUGAACAUUGAGCCUUGAUGUGUAGGAUAGGUGGGAGGCUUUGAAGUGUGGACGCCAGUCUGCAUGGAGCCGACCUUGAAAUACCACCCUUUAAUGUUUGAUGUUCUAACGUGGACCCGUUACCCGGGUUGCGGACAGUGUCUGGUGGGUAGUUUGACUGGGGCGGUCUCCUCC